UCCCGUCGCCACGUUCGGUUGUGUGUUUAGUGCGUUCGUGUGCACUCGUCCGCGCUCGUCGUAGUCGUUACGCGUUACGCGCGCGUGCUUGUCAGUGCGUGUGCCCGUGUGAUUGUUGUGUGUGCGUGCGCGAGCCCGCCGGUCGCAUUGUUUACACCGGUUGUGUCGUAUUUUUUUUUUAAAUUUUUUUUUCAUCCACUUUCCUCCCCCCCCUCCCGACUUGUGCGGUACGCUCGACGAUUUUUCGUAUUUUUUUUUCUCUCUUACCUAAUGCCAUUAUUUUCGCCUCUUUUUCCCUAUUAAACGACCCGAGUGCGCGCAGGUAUUAUCCCGACAGAAUAAUAAUAACAAUAAUAAUAUUAUUAUCAUUUAUCAUUCGCGCGCUCUUGUUAACCGCCGUGUUGUUCGCCGUCGUCGCCGUGUAAAACAUCGGGUCGUCAGUCGGGACUCGGGAAACACGCGUACGGAAAGAAAAAAAAAAGGUAAGUUAUGAUUUCAAUCUUGUCGUUUCCCCACCCCCCGAUCCAGUCUCCCCUGCCAAAUCUCCGGGCGCGGUUUUUUUUUUCUGUUCCCAAAAGGCGAUAAAAGCCGCCGCCGUACACGUGCGUCGGUAUCGUUUUACGAAUAUCGUCGCCGGCCGUUUGUCCGGAACCGGUUCGACUCCUCCGGAUUAUUAUUAGAUUAUUCGGUUUCCGGAGACGUUUUUGUUGCCCCGACCAUACCUACUGUUAUUUUCCGGCGUAUUAUUUUUUUCCAAUCAAAUCGCCUCGUCCGCGAAAACCACGUUCCCGACGAUCGCUGCCGGACAUUCCCCAAAUUUCGUGCGUUUUCCCCUCCCCCCCACCCACAUGUAAACGGGAAACGUUUUGUUUUUCUACUCGUUUAGGCGGACAUGGCCGUGUUUCGGAAUCGAGUCGGGCGCGUGAUGUUGGGUUAGGUUAUACUCG